GCAGGCUUAAUACAUGCAAGUCGUGGGGCAGCACAGGUAGCAAUACUGGGUGGCGACCGGCAAACGGGUGCGGAACACGUACGCAACCUUCCUUUAAGCGGGGAAUAGCCCAGGGAAACUUGGAUUAAUACCCCAUAAGACAGUGGAGUGGCAUCACUCAGCUGUUAAAGCUCCGGCACUUAAAGAUGGGCGUGCGGCUGAUUAGGUAGUUGGCGGGGUAACAGCCCACCAAGCCGACGAUCAGUAACUGGUGUGAGAGCACGACCAGUCACACGGGCACUGAGACACGGGCCCGACUCCUACGGGAGGCAGCAGUAAGGAAUAUUGGUCAAUGGACGCAAGUCUGAACCAGCCAUGCCGCGUGGAGGAUGAAGGCCCUCUGGGUUGUAAACUUCUUUUAUUGGGGAAGAAACCGAUUUUUUCUAAAGUCGUUGACGGUACCCAUUGAAUAAGCACCGGCUAACUCCGUGCCAGCAGCCGCGGUAAUACGGAGGGUGCAAGCGUUAUCCGGAUUCACUGGGUUUAAAGGGUGCGUANGUGGGUAGGUAAGUCAGUGGUGAAAUCUCCAAGCUUAACUUGGAAACUGCCGUUGAUACUAUCUAUCUUGAAUAUAGUGGAGGUGAGCGGAAUAUGU
rnacentral:rRNA from 1 species